AUACGUAGGGGGCGAGCGUUGUCCGGAAUGAUUGGGCGUAAAGGGCGCGUAGGCGGCCUGUUAAGUCUGGAGUGAAAGUCCUGUUUUCAAGAUGGGAAUUGCUUUGGAUACUGGGGGGCUUGAGUGCAGGAGAGGUUAUCGGAAUUCCCGGUGUAGCGGUGAAAUGCGUAGAGAUCGGGAGGAACACCAGUGGCGAAGGCGGGUAACUGGACUGCAACUGACGCUGAGGCGCGAAAGUGUGGGGAGCAAACAGGAUUAGAUACCCUGGUAGUCCACACUGUAAACGAUGAAUGCUAGGUGUAAGAGGUAUCGACCCCUUUUGUGCCGGAGUCAACACAAUAAGCAUUCCGCCUGGGGAGUACGGCCGCAAGGUUGAAACUCAAAGGAAUUGACGGGG
rnacentral:rRNA from 1 species